GAUUGCCUCAGUAACGGCGAGUGAAGCGGCAACAGCUCAAAUUUGAAAUCUGGCUCUUUUAGGGUCCGAGAUUGUAAUUUGUAGAGGAUGCUUCGGCGUCGGCUCCGGUCUAAGUUCCUUGGAACAGGACGUCAUAGAGGGUGAGAAUCCCGUAUGUGAUCGGUUGCCCUUGCCAUGUGAAGCUCCUUCGACGAGUCGAGUUGUUUGGGAAUGCAGCUCUAAAUGGGAGGUAAAUUUCUUCUAAAGCUAAAUACUGGCCAGAGACCGAUAGCGCACAAGUAGAGUGAUCGAAAGAUGAAAAGCACUUUGGAAAGAGAGUCAAAAAGUACGUGAAAUUGUUGAAAGGGAAGCGCUUGCAACCAGACCUGCCUGCAGUUGCUCAUCCGGGCUUUUGCCCGGUGCACUCUUCUGCUGUCAGGCCAGCAUCAGUCCGGGCGGUCGGAUAAAGGCUUCGGGAAUGUAGCUCCUCUCGAGGAGUGUUAUAGCCCGUUGCGAAAUGCGGCCAGCCUGAACUGAGGUCCGCGCUUCGGCUAGGAUGCUGGCGUAAUGGUUGUAAGCGGCCCGUCUUGAAACACGGACCAAGGAGUCUAACAUCUGUGCGAGUGUUUGGGUGUCAAACCCGUACGCGUAAUGAAAGUGAACGGAGGCGGGAACCCCUCGGGGUGCACCGUCGACCGAUCCUGAUGUCUUCGGAUGGAUUUGAGUAAGAGCAUAGCUGUUGGGACCCGAAAGAUGGUGAACUAUGCCUGAAUAGGGUGAAGCCAGAGGAAACUCUGGUGGAGGCUCGCAGCGGUUCUGACGUGCAAA
rnacentral:rRNA from 1 species